AGCGAAAAAAGAAAGAAAGUUUAUAUAAACAGACCUUCAUCGCUUUAAAAAAAAUUACACAAGCAAUAUGGAAACCAAAAACAAGUUUGUUAUCGAUAUAUCAUUAAAUAAUAAUGUUAACUAUAUUUACGCUUAGUUAGUACGCGAAACUUAUAGAAAAUAACUAAAUGAAUGUCAUAAAAAAUGGUUAAGAAACACAUAUUAUUUGAUUUGAAAAAUUUUACAUCAUUAGACUUUAAUGUAGCAAUAAUAAAAGUGAUGUGUCGUACAAUAGUUAAUUCGGGACAAAAAGUUCAUGAUUUAAUUGAUACAAAAAAUUCAUGAUUUAGUGAACUGAAGCAAAAUAAGGAUCAAGUUCGAAGAAUAACAAACUAAAUCUUUCGAAGGUUUCGUUUUCCAAAAAAUUGAUUUUGAAAAGUAAUAAAAUCAUAGAAUCAUCAUCUUGGUGGUAUUACAAUUAAUACUUUAUAUUAUAUAUAUAUAUAUGUAUGCAGCCCUUGGAAAGAGAUUCAUGAAUCAAGUUAAAAUAAAACAUUUACAAGAGAUAAUUCAAUGGUGAUAAAUUAGAUACUUGUUAUAAUUUCAUUUAAAAACAAAUGAAAUUAUAGAGUUAUCUAUGAAUAAUUUUUAAACAAUUAUUAAUAGUAGUACAAAUAUGUGCGAAUUGCAAAGAAUGACAAAACGUACAAAUAUAUCUUUUCAUCAAUUUCCAAAAAAAUCCAGAAAACAAAAGUGGAUAAAAGCAAUAAAAUAUAAUUGUGAGCAUUUAUCUCAUUUAAGAGUAUGAUAAAAACAUUUUACAAUUGAUUGUUUUGUUAAAAAUCCUUGGAGUUCAAAAUGAUUAUUAA